ACCGAGUCGCUCCAGUUAUUUGCUUCGUGGCUGCGCGAUGUUGGGAUGCAGGGAGAGAGAGAGAGAGAACGAAGGAACUAGAGGAAGAAGAAGAGAUUCAACAAUAUAUAGACAGCGAUGGUGAUUGCUCAGGAAGGGUUUUUUUUUUUCUUUCUCUAAUUGGGCAUUGAUUUGGGUUUGCGAUUUCCGUUAGUACAGUAAUUAGAUGAACAGCUGUAUCUAAUAUUGAACCCAGAUGGAGUCAAAGCUUUCGACGAGGAUUACCAAGAGUUUGAGUCUCUUCAUGCUGUCAACAUUAAGCAAGUCUACAGAACUGGGUUUCACUUUCGACCUCCCGGCCACUGGAUUAACAGUACUCAAUUUUGUUUGAUCUCCUUACUGUCAACUAACCACUAAUAUUUGUUUAAUUAAAUCAUGAUGUUUUUCUCAAUUCUCAGAAAGUAGUUUUUGCGUUUGGUCCAUGCACUACGUUUUUCUUUGCAAUUUCUUUAUUCAUGUUUAGCAAGCUGAAAUAAAAAAAUUAAAAAAAAGUACAUAUAAGAAUAUGAGAACUUUAUAAGGGGAAAGAAAUCAUUUUACGAAAUGGGAUAUGAUCAUAAACUCCCAUUGUGCCUGCCUUUGAAUCCUAAGAAUGGGCAGAAAUUCAGGAACAAAAAUCGGUUUACUAUUGUGCUGGUGAAAUUGUUUACAUGUGGUUUAAUUGCUUCAUGGUUGUUCUUUGUUUCCAGUGGGACUGAAGUAUGUCUAUUGAUUUUCAAAAGCUUUGAUGUUUUGCUAGGAGAGAUUAGGCUCUUCUUUCACAAGGUUUCAUGAUUCUGCUUCUGAACAUAUAAACCACUGUUGCAUAUCAUAAUUAUAGAAUCAUCUCAAUGAAAAUGCUUGAUUCUGUGCCACCUUAAAUAAGAUUUAGAGGCUGAAGUAGAUUAUGAUAUUCAUUGUCUAUUCUUACAAUUCUAGAAGAUUUGUGAGGAUCAUGAUAUAACUGGAUAUGGCACAUCUCUUAUAUUGUUGUUGGCUACGGAAUCUUAUUCUGUUAAGGUAGGAUUACUGUUUUGUUAUGAUUAUUUAGUUGAGAUUUGAUAUGCAGGGAUUUUUCUUACAACAACUUCACUUGGGAAAGCUCAACCUCACUUCCUACCGAAUGUGAUAGAGGGAGUGUGUGUGAGUAUGAUAUAUGCUAUACAUAUCUUUCUCUUAAAUCUUAGCCAAUUACUUUGUAGAGUGUGAUAAAGACUGCAUUGCAGAAAAGCAUGAAACUACAUUCAAGAAAAUUUGCUUCUCCAUACCCUCCAGAUAUAAAAGUAAAAGUAUGAAUUAAAUUAUUAUGUCUAGAAUGUCAUUCAGUACCCUUUGCACUCCUUGCUGUUUCUUCCACUUCUAUUUUAUUACUGGAAUGGGCAUAUUGACAUGUAGGUGAAGCUUACAACUUGAAUUCAUUUACCGAGUUCUUUUUUUCGAGAUUUUGUUAGAUAUAUGUAGACAAAUUCUUUUUAUUACAGAUGAAAAGUAUAAAUUUUGCGGGGGAAGAGUCAUAAAGCAAAACAUAUGAAUGAGGUUUAACAUAAUAUUAUAGUGCCACCAAAAAACUCAAGGACUUUACUGCAACAAAAAAUACAGUAUAUGGUAUUCAUCAUUCAUGAAAUCGCUCAAUGUAUGUGAACUCUACAUAAAGAAAAAUUCUAACGGCAAUUGACAUACCACAGAAAUAGCUUUUUAUUAGAUGUCUUUUUAUAAACUGUACUAAUUAUUCCUCUAUGCUAAUCGGAACCUGCAUGUAUUUCUUUGACUUUUGUUUUAGAUGAAUUCCAGUUAUGGUAAUGUACAGCUUGGUCUCAUACCCUUAGUUUAUAAUUCUGUAGUGGUAUUCAAGCAAUUCAAAGUAGUUCUGCUGUUUAAUAUGAAGUUGCAGAAAUUGAAGAAAGCAAUGCUCUAGCUCUUGCUCUUGCCAUAUUUCCACAUUGUAGGCUCAAAUGCUUGGGAUCAAGAAAACUUUGCCAAAUGUGAAUUGUGGAAUUUGAUGAUCAUCGACUAUUUUGCCUUGCAGGGACUGAACCACAAUCUGGAUCUAUUUUGAGUGAUAUUGGUGGGAGUUCAGGAUGUGAAUGAUGCACAGAACCUCAGGCACUGAACCACAAUCUGGAUUAAAUUUGAAUAUGAUUGGUGGAACUUCAGGUUGAGAAUGAUGAACAGUAACUCAAGGACUGAACCAAAUCAGUUUUGGGAAAUCCCUAUGAUUCCAUUUUUGAUUAUAUCAGAUGUUUUUAACGUCUAUUAAAAUUGUGCUAUCUAUUACCCAAACCAGUGUCAUUUCUUUAUGGAAUAAUGGCCAUCAUGUUUCUCUAUCUAAAUAUUUUAGCUUUUGAUUAAUUCGUGUACUGAGUUUAGCCUUCA